GCUCCUGAGCUCAGGUGAUUCGCCCGCCUCGGCCUCCCGCAGUGCUGGGAUUGCAGGUGUGAGCCUCCAUGACCGGCCCCCCUUUCCAUCUUGCUGUUGUGUGUGCUUCCCGGCGCACGUGCUAUGCUGAGUUCAGUCUCAUGCAGGGCCUUGGCCUCCUCACCUCGCCAGUGCGGUGGCUCUGCCCUCGGGUCCACCCCACGUCCUGCCAUGCCUGUCACCUCCACCCCUGCCCUGGACAAUGGCAGUGGCCUGCUAACGGCUCCCCUACUUGGUGACCGGGCCCCUCAAUCUUCCCAUGUGGCUGCGCCAGGGAGCCAGGCCCCUCACUGGGAGUCCCUGAUGCCCACAGCACUGGCCCCACCCCCCCUUCCUGUGUCUCGGCCACACUGAGGCUGCUCCCCAGUGUUGCUGAUCCCUGUGACCCCGUUCCCUGCCCAGACACCCCGUGAAAUGCCCUCUAAUCAAAAAGCCAAAGACAGCCACAGCCACUCUGCACAGCUGGGCCCACCACCCUCUGUAUGUGCACUUUCCACGCUAUUCACGUUAGCCACCAUCCUCCACCCUCUCGCCUGUCCUGAGCUCCUGGAGAACAGAUAACUCGUUUGUGCCCAGAGCCCAGGUUGGCGCUGGCCCCAGGAGGGAGUCCUGAAGGGCAGACAUGCUGAGGCAACUGGAUUUUCUCGUCAGUGAACACACGGGCCAGGAACCUGUCCUGGUGCCACUAAAAAGGCAGCAGAGCUGUGGGGUGCAGCAGCGCUUGGCGGGGGCGGGGGCAGCUCUGCAUGCAUGGCGUCUGCCUGGGGACCGCAGGUGUCAGGCCAGGGAGAGCCAGUGCUGAGAGGUCACACAUGAUGGUUCCCUCUACAGAGUGUUCCAGAAACAACAACGAGGAGAAUGGAUUGGUGGUCCUCAGGGGCUGAGGAGGGUGGCAGGGUGGAGGUAGCCAUGGACAGAAAAGGGCCGUGCCGGGGUCCUCGGACCGUCAUUCUGUGUGUGGGUGGUGGGGCCACGAGUCUGCACAUGUGAAAGGAUCCUAUUGGCUUGGUGUUUCAGGCUGGGAAGAUGACCGUCUCUGGAGGUGGAGGGUGGCGAUGGGCACGCGGCAGAGGGAGAGCCACUGAACCGCACGCUUCAGUGUUGCAUCCAACGGCCUGGAACCUACAACAACCCGAAAGAGGAAAGUCAAGACGUCGGGAGCCCACUGCCCUCUGGCGAGCCCCUGGAGGCUCCGUGGAAUGUUCGGGCUGCAUCCUCCUGGGACUGUCCCCUCCUGGUGCUCUUGCUCGGUCUCUGCUGGAAGAAGGCAGCGUGAGGUCAGCUGACCACAAAAGCAAACUUUUCUCCAGGCUGCACACCCGCUGGCAUUAGGCUUCUGCAGGAAACAUCCCUCCUGGGCUUUGCCGCUGCCGAGGGUCCUGGAUCUGGGGACAUCUCCGGCAGCACCACCAGGCAGAGGCCGUGUGGAGGGCACACAGCAGGCCCAACCCUGCCUGCUGUUCAAAUAGUUCAUAUUCUUACCGCCAGGACUGGCUCCACAAACAGCCCCACCCCCAGGCCAGGGUCUCCACUUCUGAAAGGAGCCAGACAGUCAGAGAGGACCCUAGGCUCCUCCAUGUGACAUGGGGGUAGCCACACAGGCAAGACAGAGGCAGGGUCCCUGGAUGUGGCCUAAUGACCUGAUGAACCUAUGAGGUGCAAGGCAGACCUGCAUGGGAACCACCACCCCUCCCCAGGAGUGGGUGCUGGAGACAGGGUUCGUGAGAGACAGGGCUACCUGAUCGUUUUUUCUUUCUUGUAAUUGUCUGGUUCCUUAGAAAAAAAAAAUUGCUUCUUUGCAAAAAAUCAAUGGGUCCCAAUGGAUCCAUGAUGUUCCCCA